CCGGUCUUGGACGCGGCGCGCGGUCCCAGAGUUUAUAAAAGGACACGCCGAGCCGGGUCCGGUGCCGAUUGUCUCGACCUUUCAAGAACAGAACUGCCGGUUACAAGCUAAUUCACCAUGGAGGACGGCCAUAGCAAGACCGUCGAAGAGUGUGUCGGAUUUUUCCGAGUCGACUCUGAGAAGGGCCUCACCCCUGAUCAGGUCAAGGAAUACCAGAAGAAAUAUGGCCCGAACGAGCUCCCAGCCGAAGAGGGAAAGACCAUCUGGCAAUUAGUCCUGGAACAGUUUGAUGAUCUGCUGGUUAAGAUUCUGCUGUUGGCUGCUAUUAUCUCCUUUGUCCUCGCCCUGUUUGAAGAACAUGAAGGUGUUGAAGCCUUCGUGGAGCCGCUCGUCAUCCUGCUUAUCCUGAUCGCCAACGCUUGCGUCGGUGUGUGGCAGGAACGUAAUGCCGAGUCCGCCAUUGAAGCCCUGAAGGAGUACGAGCCUGAGAUGGGCAAGGUUGUCCGCGGUGACAAGUCCGGUGUGCAGAAGGUGCGCGCCAAGGAGAUUGUCCCCGGUGACAUCGUUGAGGUGUCGGUCGGUGACAAGAUCCCCGCCGAUAUCCGUCUGACCAAGAUCUACUCCACCACCAUCCGUAUUGAUCAGUCCAUCCUGACUGGUGAGUCCGUGUCCGUGAUCAAGCACACCGAUGCCGUCCCGGAUCCACGUGCCGUCAACCAGGACAAGAAGAACAUCCUGUUCUCCGGAACCAACGUCGCCGCCGGUAAGGCCCGUGGUGUCGUCAUCGGCACCGGUCUGUCCACCGCCAUCGGUAAGAUCCGUACCGAGAUGUCCGAGACUGAGGAAAUCAAGACCCCGCUGCAGCAGAAGCUGGACGAGUUCGGUGAGCAGCUGUCCAAGGUCAUCACUCUGAUCUGUAUUGCCGUCUGGGCCAUCAACAUUGGUCACUUUAACGAUCCCGCCCACGGAGGUUCCUGGAUCAAGGGUGCCGUCUACUACUUCAAGAUCGCCGUCGCCCUGGCCGUCGCUGCCAUCCCUGAGGGUCUGCCCGCUGUCAUCACCACCUGUCUGGCUCUGGGUACCCGCCGUAUGGCCAAGAAGAACGCCAUUGUCCGCUCCCUGCCGUCCGUCGAAACCCUGGGUUGCACCUCCGUCAUCUGCUCUGAUAAGACCGGUACGCUGACCACCAACCAGAUGUCCGUCUCGCGUAUGUUCAUCUUCGACAAGGUCGAUGGCGACAGCAGCUCUUUCUCCGAGUUCGAGAUCUCCGGAUCCACCUACGAGCCAAUUGGUGAGGUUACCCUGAACGGCCAGCGCGUCAAGGCCGCCGAUUACGAAGCUCUGCAUGAGCUGGGAACCAUCUGUAUCAUGUGUAACGACUCUGCCAUUGAUUUCAACGAAGUCAAGAAGGUCUUUGAGAAGGUCGGUGAGGCCACCGAGACCGCUCUGAUCGUCCUGGGUGAGAAGAUGAACCCCUUCAACGUGUCGAAGCAGGGUCUGGAUCGCCGUUCGUCGGCCAUCUGCGUCCGUCAGGAGAUUGAAACCAAGUGGAAGAAGGAGUUCACCCUGGAGUUCUCUCGCGAUCGUAAGUCCAUGUCCAGCUACUGCGUCCCGCUGAAGGCCUCCCGCCUCGGAAACGGCCCGAAACUGUUCUGCAAGGGUGCCCCAGAAGGUGUCCUGGAUCGUUGCACGCACGCCCGUGUCGGAACCAGCAAGGUCCCUCUGACCGCUACCCUGAAGAAGCGCAUCCUGGAGCUGACCGCCCAGUACGGUACCGGACGCGAUACCCUCCGUUGUCUGGCCCUGGCCACCGCUGAUAACCCGAUGAAGCCCGAAGACAUGGACCUGAACGAUUCCAACAAGUUCUACACUUAUGAAGUCAACCUAACCUUCGUCGGUGUUGUUGGUAUGCUUGAUCCCCCACGUAAGGAAGUCCUGGACGCCAUUGCCCGUUGCCGUCACGCCGGUAUCCGUGUCAUUGUCAUCACUGGUGACAACAAGGCUACCGCCGAGGCCAUCUGCCGUCGCAUCGGUGUCUUUACUGAGGAAGAGGAUACCACUGGCAAGUCCUACUCCGGCCGUGAAUUCGACGAUCUGCCCGUCAGCGAGCAGCGCGAAGCUGUUUCCCGUGCACGUCUGUUCUCCCGCGUGGAGCCCGCCCACAAGUCCAAGAUUGUUGAGUACCUGCAGAGCAUGAACGAGAUCUCCGCUAUGACUGGUGAUGGUGUCAACGACGCCCCUGCCCUGAAGAAGGCCGAAAUUGGUAUUGCCAUGGGUUCCGGUACCGCCGUCGCCAAGUCCGCCUCCGAGAUGGUGUUGGCCGAUGACAACUUCUCCUCCAUCGUUGCCGCCGUUGAGGAAGGUCGCGCCAUCUACAACAACAUGAAGCAGUUCAUCCGCUACCUGAUUUCGUCCAACAUUGGUGAGGUCGUGUCCAUCUUCUUGACCGCCGCCCUGGGUCUGCCCGAGGCUCUGAUCCCCGUCCAGCUGCUGUGGGUCAACUUGGUUACUGAUGGUCUGCCAGCUACCGCCCUCGGCUUCAACCCACCGGAUCUUGACAUCAUGGACAAGCCACCCCGUCGCGCUGAUGAGGGUCUGAUCUCUGGCUGGCUGUUCUUCCGUUACAUGGCCAUCGGUGGAUACGUCGGUGCCGCCACCGUCGGAGGCGCUGCCUGGUGGUUCAUGUACCACGACCAGGGACCCCAGCUGACCUACUGGCAGCUGACCCACCAUCUGUCCUGCAUCGCCGGCGGUGACGAGUUCAAGGGCGUCGACUGCAAGAUCUUCACCGACCCCCACCCGAUGACCAUGGCCCUGUCCGUGCUGGUCACCAUCGAGAUGUUGAACGCCAUGAACAGCUUGUCUGAGAACCAGUCGCUGGUCACCAUGCCGCCAUGGUCCAACUUGUGGUUGGUGGGCUCCAUGUGCCUGUCGUUCGCCCUGCACUUUGUCAUCCUGUACGUCGAUGUUCUGUCGUCCGUGUUCCAGGUCACCCCGCUGAACGCCGAGGAAUGGAUCACCGUGAUGAAGUUCUCGCUGCCAGUCGUGCUGCUCGACGAAAUCCUGAAGCUGGUCGCCAGAAGGAUCUCCGACGUCAACCCCGAUUUCCAUUAAGCACCAUCAUCCAACAAAAAGCCUUCCUAUUGCUUCACCAAACCAACAAGUACUGUUGAAACCAACCGCCAAUCCUUAAAAGUAAACAAAAACAAAAAUCCAGCCAAAAUCAUCACCACCUUUUCCACCUGAAUGCUUCUUCAAUCCCUGGGAGGGAAAACAACCCAAAACAAACAUGGUGGAAUCGCGCGAGACCAAAUCCGAAGGGGAUUUCAACUCCGUGGAACAUAACAGCUAGCAAAACCGGCCAGAUCCUGUUUAUUUCCAUCCCGUGAAAGAGAGAGACAACCGAACCGAGCGCAACCGGAAAUAGAUCGAUGGACUCUGACUUCCCUUCCCGGACCACCCUCAAAACCAAACCCGCUUCCCAUCGUGUACCACGCCAUCACCCCUAUAAGAAAACCUCAACUGUCCGGAAACCCGGCUGUGACGUCAGCCUGACCAUCACCAUCACCAAUCCCUGCUUCUUGUUUACAAAACCCUCUUUUCCACAACAACAACAACGGCAACAACCUUCAACACCCUUUCUAGAAUUAUAUUAGAAAGAUUGAAUCUCUACAAAUAAGUGUUAAUAUAAUUCUAAGCAGUCGAGAGCGCGCAAAACGCAAACGCAAAUCUACGCGAUCAACCAACGAAGUUAUCAAGAAGUGGGAAUAAGCAGUUUGCCCAAAUCCUACACGAAGCUGCCCGCUCGCGCUCUCCAGCACAUCAUCGGAGAGCGUGAGCGCAACGCAAACGCAACGUAAGCAAUCAAGAAAAACAAAAGAAGAAAACAAACAAAACCAAAAAGCGAAGCAAUAAAGCACAAAAAGGAAAAAUAAAAACCUAAAAAAAAUAUAUCGUUAUUUAUUGAAACACCAAAAUACACACACACAACCCAUCUAUGAAAUGCAACCGGGAAGAGGCAACGACAGCCGGCUUCUUCCCGGGAAGGAAGUAUUAAACCAAAGUAAACAACAAAAAACAACAAUAACAAACAUCGUGUUUUUGCCGACAACACUGUCUCUAAAAUGACAAGUUUUUUUCUAUUUCCUUUUCUCGUUUUACACUUGGACAAAUUCGGAAAGUAGUGGAAAGUAAAGAAAUCUUAAAAUAUAUACAAAUUUCAAUCUAGUGAGCGUGUUCCAAAAUCAAAAACCAACCAAAAAUACCAAAAGUUUUGCCAAAGUUUUCUGACCUUAAAAGUACUGUUUUGAAUUUGAACCCGUUGUAGCGAAAAAAAACAAACCAUAACAAAAGCAGCAGUAGAAGUCAAUUUCGGUUUUGGGGUAGAAUGAAACGUUUAUCUUUCAGGCAAACGACUCUAUUUUUCUUUUCUCUAGUGAAAAUGAACAAUUGAAGACAUUUUUUUCUCUCAUUUAUUACGUUUAAGUUUCGAAUACACAACACAUCUUGUCUGUUAUACGCAAAAUAGGAAAGAUACGCAGAGCGCGAAAGGCUUAGGUUUAUCCUUGUCUGUUUUUUGUUACCUUUUUAGUUUAAUUUUUUUUUCGUUAUUUUUGUUUUAAGUUUUUAUUUUUUAACUAUAUGAGACAACAAUGUAAAUAAGCUAAUUAAAUAAAGUGAACAAAGGUUGAAAAUAAAAGA
rnacentral:misc_RNA from 1 species